rnacentral:rRNA from 1 species
CUACGUGCCAGCAGCCGCGGUAAUACGUAGGUCCCGAGCGUUGUCCGGAUUUAUUGGGCGUAAAGCGAGCGCAGGCGGUUAGAUAAGUCUGAAGUUAAAGGCUGUGGCUUAACCAUAGUACGCUUUGGAAACUGUUUAACUUGAGUGCAGAAGGGGAGAGUGGAAUUCCAUGUGUAGCGGUGAAAUGCGUAGAUAUAUGGAGGAACACCGGUGGCGAAAGCGGCUCUCUGGUCUGUAACUGACGCUGAGGCUUGAAAGCGUGGGGAGCAAACAGGGUUAGAUACCCUGGUAGUCCACGCCGUAAACGAUGAGUGCUAGGUGUUGGGUCCUUUCCGGGACUCAGUGCCGCAGCUAACGCAUUAAGCACUCCGCCUGGGGAGUACGACCGCAAGGUUGAAACUCAAAGGAAUUGACGGGGGCCCGCACAAGCGGUGGAGCAUGUGGUUUAAUUCGAAGCAACGCGAAGAACCUUACCAGGUCUUGACAUCCCUCUGACCGCUCUAGAGAUAGAGCUUUC